UAUAUCUAAAGGCAGAAAAUGGAUUCUUCAUCAUGGUGGUGCUGUUGGGAUCUCAUCUUGGGGAAAGUUUUGGCUAACGGUGCUUGGUGUGUAUGACUGGUCAGGAUGCAAUCCAGUGCCCCCAGAGCUUUGGCUUUUGCCGAGAGUGUUUUUCCUUCGUCCAGGGAAAAUGGUUGCCUUGGCUCGCUUGAUUUAUUUGCCUAUGUCAUUCCUAUAUGGGAAGAGGUUUUUUGGUCCAAUCACUGAGUUGGUUCAAUCAUUAAGGCAAGAACUCUAUACUGAACCAUAUCAUUAUA